GUUGAUUGCAGCUGAGGGACGUAGAUAUUGAGUUUUUUUAAUUUUAUAUUUUACAAGCACCGGUUGAUAAUAAAACAAACGCCGCCCUUACAAGGACAUUACAAUUAAUGCUAUACUUUAUUAAAACUAAACAACAAAAUAAAAUUGAAAUGGACAAUAAAGUUUACAAAAAAAAAUGAAAAAAAAACUGUCACCAAAUUUUAAAGGUUAACCUACUGUUGAAUACUCAUUUGUAUACGAAAUUUAAGAAAAUUUGCUGUUGGUAACUAAUUGCGCAUCCGGUUAACUCAUAAUCGAGUUACUACUGUAUUUUACAACUACGUUCGAGGAUGGAAGUAUUAUCAACAGCAAAAAAAUAAAUAAAUAAAUAAAUAAAAUAAAGAACAGAGACAAAUAACGGACCGGACUCCAAAUUUGUUUAUAUUUAAUCGGGACAUUAACGACGAUUUUUAAAAAACGUAUACUAACUACAAGGAACCAAAACUAACUUCGCUUCGGGUGAAAUUUUAGAGGAAAAAUCAAUUGUUUUAAAUUUAUUUGUCAUCAUAAGCGUUUUUAUUUUUUGUGAAUCAAAAUAAAGUAAAAGCUUCUUUGUAAUGUAUGAGAAUGACGAUCAAUUUAUUCCAAAUGAGGAAGGUGACAUAUUGGUUAAAGAUCAAUAAACAAAUACUCAAUUUUGGGUUCCUGCCAAUGAGAUGGUUUAAAAAUAGUAUGUAGAUGCUUUUUGAACACCUAGUUUUAAGCCCUGCAGUUAGGGCAAAAAUAUCAAAUAAUAAAAAAAUGCUGUUUGUUUUCAUACUGGAAAACUAGAAGAGGCCCAGGAACCUGGGAAAAAUCUUACAUUGCCCCAAGAAGUAACACUUUUAAUUAUAUUAUAUUCUAGCAUUGAACCGAGGUGGCUUUUACUUGAUGAAAAUCCAUUUAACCAGAUAAAUAAGAACUAAAAGUUAAGAUUUUUACGAAAUUAUACAUAUUCACAUGACAAUUGCUACUGCAAGGAAAGCCCAGAUCCAAGGUCAGACGAAAUUGAUGAAGGAAGAACGAAGACAUAUAGACAUUUGGUAAAGACAGUGUUGUCGAAACUAUUGUUAUGUGAAUAUAUAUAAUUUCGUGAAAAUCUUUUAGUUUUUAUUUAUCUGGUUAUAUUGUAGCCAUGAAAAGUGUUUUGACGCUAAGCUAAAAGAACACGCUUGUCAAAAACUCACAAAGGAAUUUAAUUAAAAAACAAGAAAAACACUAACUGAAAUGAAUGUUAAAAAAAGUGGAGAGCUUCAAAAAGGGCCUACAAGAAAAUAAAAUUUAAAAAUUCUCAGAGGUGUGGAAAACAUAAAUAAUAGAUAAUAUACUGAAGAAAAAAAACAGAAUUUAAUAUUAAUAAAUAAAUUCACUUUAUCCUGUCUUUUAGUACAUACUGAAAAAAAUGACUCGAAAGCUGAAAUCUUGGAGUCCCCUAAUGAGAUACCAAAUGACACACCUAAAUCUGGAUUUGUUGAAAGAACAGCAGGACCAAAUGUGACUGAUAGUCAUAAAGAUAAAAUGGCUUGACACCACACACCAUGAAAAUAUGAUAGAGAACAUGUAAAAGUGCAAUUAAUAUAAAACAUUAGACAGUAAGUUAGUUGGUUAAC